CAGGAAAUAGGCCCAAAAUGUCUCAAUGCCAUGUCACGGAAAUGUUUCUGGAAUGGGGAAAGUUGAGCCUCGUUGUUUCCGUGCAUUGUAGUUUACAAGAAAUAAGCUAUAGUUUAAAAUCAAACCUAUUCUAAAUCAUGAAAUGUUUCUAACAUUAAUACUAAAAUAGAAUACAAACUAUUCAACCAUGUAAACUUGUAUUUGAACCAGUGACAUCAGCUCAGUAGGUCCUCACCAAUUCCACGAUCUAGUUCAG
rnacentral:misc_RNA from 1 species